rnacentral:snoRNA from 1 species
UGUUUUAUUCUAUUUAAAAACUAGAAAGGCUACACUGAGACAAAGGUUAUGCUUCCAUUAUAGUAAAUUGAUUGCAGUGGUGACAAUGAGACCUGUAACAUUU